rnacentral:rRNA from 1 species
CGGACGGGUGAGUAACGCGUGGGUAACCUGCCUCACACUGGGGGAUAACAGUUAGAAAUAGCUGCUAAUACCGCAUAAGCGCACAGUUCCGCAUGGAACAGUGUGAAAAACUCCGGUGGUGCGAGAUGGACCCGCGUCUGAUUAGCCAGUUGGCGGGGUAACGGCCCACCAAAGCGACGAUCAGUAGCCGGCCUGAGAGGGUGAACGGCCACAUUGGGACUGAGACACGGCCCAAACUCCUACGGGAGGCAGCAUG